rfam:Myotis lucifugus cont2.46327, whole genome shotgun sequence.
AACCCCUGGCAGUGGACAAGGAGACACCUGUUUGGUGGUGUUGCUCUUAUAUUGGUCAAGGGCAAAGCAGUGCAUCCUAGCUUGAUGCCUGUGUGUGUUGGUGACCAGAGCUGUUUCAUACCUGGGGCACAUAA